rnacentral:rRNA from 1 species
GUCUACGGCCAUGCCACCUUGAACAAGCCCGAUCCUGUCUGAUCUCAGAAGCUAAACAGGGUCGGGCCUGGUUAGUACUUGGAUGGGAGACCACCCAGGAAGACCAGGUGCUGUAAGCA